rnacentral:rRNA from 1 species
UACAGAGGUCCCGAGCGUUGUUCGGAUUCAUUGGGCGUAAAGGGUGCGUAGGUGGCGCUGUAAGUGGGGUGUGAAAUCCCGGGGCUUAACCCCGGGACUGCAUUCCAUACUGCGGUGCUUGAGGACUGGAGAGGAGACUGGAAUUUACGGUGUAGCAGUGAAAUGCGUAGAGAUCGUAAGGAAGACCAGUGGCGAAGGCGGGUCACUGGCCCGGUACUGACGCUGAGGUGCGAAAGCGUGGGGAGCAAACAGG